rnacentral:rRNA from 1 species
UACGUAGGGGGCGAGCGUUGUCCGGAUUUAUUGGGCGUAAAGAGCUCGUAGGCGGUUCGAUAAGUCGGACGUGAAAUCUCCACGCUCAACGUGGAGGGGCCGUUCGAUACUGUCGUGACUCGAGUCCGGUAGGGGAGUGUGGAAUUCCCGGUGUAGCGGUGAAAUGCGCAGAGAUUGGGAGGAACACCCGUAGCGAAGGCGGCACUCUGGGCCGGUACUGACGCUGAGGAGCGAAAGCGUGGGGAGCAAACAGG